AGUACAAAAUGCGUUGCACUUAGAAAUAUCAUAGUUUCUGAAGCAAUCAUCUACUUCUACCACGAUGCAUUUAUACCUGGCCUGAUUAACGCUAUGAAUAGGCUAGGCUCAGUUGACCAUCGUCUAGGCAUAGGAAAGGGUCUGAACAAGGACUUUAAAGAGAAGGAGACGGCAACAAAUUCUAACAAUAUCUAGAUUCAGCAUAUCCCCAUAUGUACUCUACCAACCCAGCUAGCAUGUUACAUAACGUAAUAUCUUGCGUUAUAUUGUUUUUUUUUAUGAUUAUCUAAAAAUCUUGAAAAAUAAAUUGCUUACCCAAAAACGGCCGAAUACGUCAAAUUUAAUAUUGAA